rnacentral:rRNA from 1 species
UACGAAGGGGGCUAGCGUUGUUCGGAAUUACUGGGCGUAAAGCGCGCGCAGGCGGUCUUCCAAGUCAGUGGUGAAAGCCCGGAGCUCAACUCCGGAACUGCCAUUGAAACUGUUGGACUUGAGUAUGAGAGAGGUGAGUGGAAUUCCCAGUGUAGAGGUGAAAUUCGUAGAUAUCAAGAGGAACACCUGCGGCGAAGGCGGGUUGCUGGGCUGACACUGACGCUGAAGUGCGAAAGCCAGGGGAGCGAACGGG